rnacentral:rRNA from 1 species
AACGAACGCUGGCGGCAUGCCUAACACAUGCAAGUCGAACGAGACCUUCGGGUCUAGUGGCGCACGGGUGCGUAACGCGUGGGAACCUGCCCUUAGGUUCGGAAUAACUCCCCGAAAGGGGUGCUAAUACCGGAUAAUGUCUUCGGACCAAAGAUUUAUCGCCUUUGGAUGGGCCCGCGUUGGAUUAGCUAGUUGGUAGGGUAAAAGCCUACCAAGGCGACGAUCCAUAGCUGGUCUGAGAGGAUGAUCAGCCACACUGGGACUGAGACACGGCCCAGACUCCUACGGGGGGCAGCAGUGGGGAAUAUUUGACAAUGGGCCGAAGGCUUAUCCAGCAAUGCCGCGGUGGUGAUGAAAGCCUUAGGGUUGUAAAGCUCUUUUACCCGGGAUGAUAAUGACAGUACCGGGAGAAUAAGCUCCGGCUAACUCCGUG